GUGUUCGCUUCGGCAGCACAUAUACUAAAAUCGGAACGAUACAGAGAAGAUUAGCAUGGCCCCUGCUCAAGGAGAACUCCACUAUAAGGAUCCUAAUAUUA
ensembl:snRNA U6 U6 spliceosomal RNA